AGAGUUUGAUCAUGGCUCAGAGUGAACGCUGGCGGCAGGCCUAACACAUGCAAGUCGAACGGCAGCACAGCAGUAGCAAUACUGUGGGUGGCGAGUGGCGGACGGGUGAGGAAUACAUCGGAAUCUACCUUGUCGUGGGGGAUAACGUAGGGAAACUUACGCUAAUACCGCAUACGAACUACGGUUGAAAGCGGCGGACCGCAAGGCGUCGCGCGAUUGGAUGAGCCGAUGUCCGAUUAGCUAGUUGGCGGGGUAAAGGCCCACCAAGGCGACGAUCGGUAGCUGGUCUGAGAGGAUGAUCAGCCACACUGGAACUGAGACACGGUCCAGACUCCUACGGGAGGCAGCAGUGGGGAAUAUUGGACAAUGGGCGCAAGCCUGAUCCAGCCAUGCCGCGUGUGUGAAGAAGGCCUUCGGGUUGUAAAGCACUUUUGUCCGGAAAGAAAUCCUGUCGGUUAAUACCCGGCGGGGAUGACGUACCGAAGAAU
rnacentral:rRNA from 1 species